rnacentral:rRNA from 1 species
GACGAACGCUGGCGGUGUGCUUAACACAUGCAAGUCGAACGGUAAGGCCCUUUCGGGGGUACACGAGUGGCGAACGGGGGAGUAACACGUGAGUAACCUGCCCUCAUCUCUGGGAUAACAGUCGGAAACGGUUGCUAAUACUGGAUAUGAGCUUGCAAGGCAUCUUGUGGGUUGGAAAGAUUUUUUUUGGUUGGGGAUGGACUCGCGGCCUAUCAGCUUGUUGGUGAGGUAGUGGCUCACCAAGGCUUCGACGGGUAGCCGGCCUGAGAGGGCGACCGGCCACAUUGGGACUGAGAGACGGCCCAAAGUCCGACGGGGGGCAGCAGUGGGGAAUAUUGCACAAUGGACGGAAGUCUGAUGCAGCAACGCCGCGUGCGGGAUGAGGGCCUUCGGGUUGUAAACCGCUUUCAAUUGUGACGAAGCUUUUUUGUGACGGUAGCAGUAGAAGAAGCACCGGCUAACUACGUG